rnacentral:tRNA from 1 species
ACCGAAAUAGAUCAUUUGGGAGAGCGUUAGACUAUAGAUCGAAAGGUCCCUAGUUCGAUUCUGGGAUUCGGCA